CUCUCUUCUGCUUUUCCAUUUCAUUUCCUUAUGUUAGAGAAGCAUUCCAUUUUAAAAUUUCAAGGAGGGUACUGAAUGAGCUUGGUAGAUAGACUAGGCUCUCUUGCAUAAAGAUCAUAUAAGAAAUUAAAGGAGUUUGCCACAUACUGCCUUUCUAAUGGUGUUCUUCCUUUCCAACAUCCUGAGUUGUCCAAUUUUUCAAAUAUUAAAGCUAUAAGCCAAGCAAGGGAACAGUUUCAGGUCAGUGGGCAGAGCUUCACACCUCUACGCCCACCAUGAUCUUGGGAGGCCGAAGUAUAAGAAGUGCAACAGGACUCAGACUACCUGAGCUACAAAGACUCGGAACUCCUCCCAGCCUGUCAUUUUGAAGUGUUUUCUGGAUUAUACAUGACAUGGGGAGCUUCGUUCGAGAUACCUCGACAAGAUGGCAGCCUGAGCAAGACUUGAGCAAGGUUAAUGCUGCCAGCUAAAAACGGAAGGAAGAAAACUCAUGGGCCCCAGACAGAGAACACGAGGCAACUAAGGAAUGUUAAAAAGCAGGAAAAUUGUCUUCUCCGGCAUUGAACCCCUUUCAUUGGUAACCUGAUACCACAGAGUCAGCCUGAAUUCAUAUCCAUACAAAUAACAAUAAACG